rnacentral:rRNA from 1 species
UACAGAGGGGGCAAGCGUUGUUCGGAAUUACUGGGCGUAAAGGGCGCGUAGGCGGCCUGUUAAGUCGAACGUGAAAUCCCCGGGCUCAACCCGGGAACUGCGUCCGAUACUGGCAGGCUUGAAUUCGGGAGAGGGAUGCGGAAUUCCAGGUGUAGCGGUGAAAUGCGUAGAUAUCGGGAGGAACACCAGUGGCGAAGGCGACUUCCUGGCCUGUUCUUGACGCUGAGGCGCGAAAGCUAGGGGAGCAAACGGG